rnacentral:rRNA from 1 species
CAUUACUGAGUUUACGCUCUAUAACCCUUUGUGAACAUACCUAUAACUGUUGCUUCGGCGGGUAGGGUCUCCGCGACCCUCCCGGCCUCCCGCCUCCGGGCGGGUCGGCGCCCGCCGGAGGAUAACCAAACUCUGAUUUAACGACGUUUCUUCUGAGUGGUACAAGCAAAUAAUCAAAACUUUUAACAACGGAUCUCUUGGUUCUGGCAUCGAUGAAGAACGCAGCGAAAUGCGAUAAGUAAUGUGAAUUGCAGAAUUCAGUGAAUCAUCGAAUCUUUGAACGCACAUUGCGCCCGCCAGCAUUCUGGCGGGCAUGCCUGUUCGAGCGUCAUUUCAACCCUCAAGCUCUGCUUGGUGUUGGGGCCCUACAGCUGAUGUAGGCCCUCAAAGGUAGUGGCGGACCCUCCCGGAGCCUCCUUUGCGUAGUAACUUUACGUCUCGCACUGGGAUCCGGAGGGACUCUUGCCGUAAAACCCCCCAAUUUUCCAAAGGUUGACCUCGGAUCAGGUAGGAAUACCCGCUGAACUUAAGCAUAUCAAUAAGCGGAGGAAAAGAAACCAACAGGGAUUGCCUCAGUAACGGCGAGUGAAGCGGCAAC